AAAAGUUUGGUUGGGUUUUUCUGCACAAUCUUAAAGAAAAACCAGAGAGAACUUUU
ensembl:miRNA